GGAGCGUUAGUGACCUUAUCGCGAUUGCUGGGUGUGUAGUAUGCCUCAGUGGACGUUGAUUGUUUGGGAUAGUAGGGGUCAUAUUCCAGUUCAUUUGGCACCAAUGGCUUUAAGGAGAGCGUCAAAGCAUGUACAGAAGAGAAGAAUUUGCAAUCGGCUCGAAUGAACGAUUAAGAUGCACGGCACUUUUGUCUCGCGCGAAAGCGCGAGUCUCCAAUGAUGACGAAGAAACUUCUUCAGUGUAAACAGUGACGACGAAUAGAGCGCAUAGUAGAAAGUAAGGUUGUAAAAUCCAAUAGAACACCAUUUUUUGUGAAAAGUUAGAAUUACUAAAGAAUAUUACACAAGAGAGUUCGAUUCUCCGUAAAAAGUAUAAUAAGAGUACCGCUCCCAGCAUCUAGAAGAUCUCUACUUUGUGAUAGAAGAAGUUCAAGUGAAAGUAUCGCGAGGAUGAGUCUAUGACUCUCCUAGUCCUCCCUUCUCUUUCCAUUCUUUAACUCCCUCUCUUUACCUUUUUUCCUGACAAUCUACUUGACAUAUCCUACGCAUCCUGUCUUUAUUACCUAUUGCUAUAUGCAUUUGCAAAUAAACGCGCACAAUCGACUCAUGUUGCAAAUCAAAAUCAAUAAGAAGCCAAAUUACUGCAGUAAACGUCAGUAUACACACACACAAAACUCAAUAUGUAUAACAUAUAUUUAUCUUGAACGUUAAAAAAUUUAAAGUUUGAUCGUAAGACUUAGAUUGCACAAACUAUUUAAUAAUUUCAAAAUUCCGGGACAGUAGUGUGUUAAUGCUGUCAAAUUACUACGCAAUGUGCAUUAAAUUAAUUUUUUAGUUUAUCUAUUGUUAUGUACAAUUCACACACAAUUUGCUUAAAGGAAUGGCGACAUACUUUGGCUGAAAAUUAAUGUGAUUCUAAAAUAUGUUUUAAUGUAAAUACUUGUAUAAUAUUUAGUACUUGUAUAAUUACUUCUAUAAUAUUUAGUUUAGAAUUAUACAAGCUUUAUCCUUAAAGAACAUUGCGUAGAAAAAGGAAAACAAAAAUUUUACUUAUAACAUAUCUUAUACAUCAAAAAAUAAAAAUUAAGCUGUGUAAUACACCUCAAUAGUUUUUUAUUCAUGACAUCUAUAAAUACUCUAGGCCCUAGGCAUAUUGGCAUUUCUUCCAUUUAACAAAAAUAAUUACAGUAAAAAAUUUGAUAUCAAAUCGAUGAUAUAUAAGACAACCACCAAAGCAUUGAUAUAUUGGUAGAAAUGUCUUCGAAAUUUAUGUGAAUUAUGUUUUUCUUUUUGGAUACAUAGUAAUAUCAAUAUUUAUCAUUAUAGGAAAUAUAGGUCUAAUUAAUUUUUAAUAGGCAAUUUGUAAACAUUAGGAUUAUAAAAAUUUACAUUAUAAGUUAGGCUCGGAAGUUUUUCUUUGUUUUAAAACUGCAUAAAUUGGUCUGUGCUUUUAUUAACAUGGCGGUUUGUUUAUUACAGAGAAAGAGAAAAAUGCAAAAGCUUUGGAUUUUGUAAGAUUUUUAUCAUGAUAAUCAGAAUUUGUUUUAAUAUCAUUUGAUUGACUUCCAAACCUUAAGUAUAGAAUUAUCAAAAAUUUGUUAUAUUUUUAACGCGCGAGAAAGAGUUUCCAGCAUACUCUUCCACUCUUUCGUAAGCGCUCUAUUAACAUAUAAACAUUUAUCCCAUCUUAAUAUUUGCUUAUGCAUUUGUGAUGACACUUGUUGUACAUUGGAAUCAUCUUCUGUCUCAGAGUUUAUCUUAUUAUAAAAAGAUAUGCUGAAACAUUUGUUUAUCCGUGUAAUAAAUUGUAAUUAUUUCUACCA